CGCUCCGGUGGCCUAGUGGUUAGAGCGUCCGCUUUGGAAGCGGGAAGUCGCGGGUUCGAUUCGAUCCCCGGCUGAGUUA